GACGAACGCUGGCGGCGUGCCUAAUACAUGCAAGUUGAGCGCUGAAGGUUGGUCCUUGUACCAACUGGACGAGCAGCGAACGGGUGAGUAACGCGUGGGGAAUCUGCCUUUGAGCGGGGGACAACACUUGGCAACGAAUGCUAAUACCGCAUAAAACCUCUAAACACUAGUUUAAAGUAUGAAAGAUGCAAUUGCAUCACUCAAAGAUGAUCCCGCGUUGUAUUAGCUAGUUGGUGAGGUAAAGGCUCACCAAGGCGAUGAUACAUAGCCGACCUGAGAGGGGGAUCGGCCACAUUGGGACUGACACACGCCCCAAACUCCUACGGGAGGCAGCAGUAGGGAAUCUUCGGCAAUGGACGAAAGUCUUACCCAGCAACGCCGCGUGAGUCAAGAAGGUUUUCGGAUCGUAAAACUCUGUUGGUAGAGAAGACCGUUGGUGAGAGUGGAAAGCUCAUCAAGUGACGGUAACUACCCAGAAACGGGCGGCGAACUACUC
rnacentral:rRNA from 1 species